CAAAAGUCAAUGUGUUAAAGUAUUGAAUCAAAAGGAUCUAACCCAGUCUCUUGUCACCACAUAAACUCGAUAUUUUAGUGGGGACAUAACCCAAUUUUUUUAAUGGGGGUGAGAUAACCCCAAAGUACUUGUGUGUUGUUAUUAAAAAUAAAAGCU